AAGAGUAGAAACAAUACCAAAUUUAUUGUUUAUUGUUAAGAUGUAAGUGUUCAUGUAUCCACUUACCCAUGUGGUGGAUAACAUUAUCCACGCCUAUUAUUAAGAUGUCAUUAUCCAGAUUAGGAAAAGAAAAAUGAAAGAUAAAAGUUGGAAGUUGCAAUCCAUUAGGGACUAUGAAAAUAACUCAUACCAAAUCUAUUGGCCCUAAAAACGGACGGUUUUGAAGCAAGUUACAUGCACUUGACCAUCGAAGAAAGUACAAUCUCCAAUGAAUAGGAGGGCAUAUAAACCUUAGGUGUGAUGUUAGGUGAACCGACCCCUAGUGCAGAUCUUGGUGGUAGUAGCAAAUAUUCAAAUGAGAAAUUUAAAGAGUGGAGUGGGGAAAGCUUCAAUGUGAACAACACUUGGACAUGUGUUACUCAAUCCUAAGAAAUGGGGAAGCCCUAUAUCAAGGGUGCACUUUAUGUGAAGGAAUUAAAUUUUUAUAUGGUAUUACUUUGGUAUGUAAAUAUCUCUUAUAAAAUCUAAAUUGGGAAAACCCCUUUUGUUUAAGGGAAUGAUGUGUUAAAGUACAAUUUAGGAGUUGUUUUUGGAUGAUCUGUUUGGACUAUGAAGUGUCAAAGUACAAUUUAAGAGUUACUUUCAAAUGAUCUAGGGUUUUGAGAGAGAUUAAUAUUCUCUUUGUAUAUAUUAUGAAAUGUUAUUUAGUAUUUAUAUAAUCUAAUUUAUUUGUAUAAUCUAAUGGAUGGGGUGUUAUUUCUGCCCAGGUGUCAAACAGAACAAAUAGGCGACGACCACCAUGGCGCCAGCCAUGUGAC
rnacentral:ncRNA from 1 species